AGCAACAUACUAAACGAUCGGGUGCUAAGCUAAUAUAAUGGGUCAUGUCAAUCAGAUCAUUCAACUAAUGAUGUGACCUCGUUAAUCAAAUAACAACUCUUUGUUCAUGGUUAGGAAACAUAACCAUCUUUGAUUAACGAGCUAGUCUAGUAGAGGCAUACUAGUGACACUCUGUUUGUCUAUGUAUUCACACAUGUAUUAUGUUUCCGGUUAAUACAAUUCUAGCAUGAAUAAUAAACCUUUAUCAUGAUAUAAGGAAAUAAAUAAUAACUUUAUUAUUGCCUCUAGGGCAUAUUUCCUUCAGUCUCCUUAUUCUUAAAGAUCCAUUUAUUCUCAAUUGCUUGCCGAUCAUCGGGCAAGUCAACCAAAGUCCAUACUUUGUUCUCAUACAUGGAUCCCAUCUCAGAUUUCAUGGCUUCAAGCCACUUUGCGAAAUCUGGGCUCACCAUCGCUUCUUCAUAGUUCGUAGGUUCAUCAUGAUCUAGUAGCAUGACCUCCAGAACAGGAUUACCGUACCACUCUGGUGCGGAUCUUACUCUGGUUGAUCUACGAGUUUCAGUAGUAUCUUGAUCUAAAGUUUCAUGAUCAUCAUCAUUAGCUUCCUCACUUAUUGGUGUAGGUGUCGCAGAAACAGUUUUCUGUGAUGUAUUACUUUCCAAUAAAGGAGUAGGUACAGUUACCUCGUCAAGUUCUACUUUCCUCCCACUCACUUCUUUCGAGAGAAACUCCUUCUCUAGAAAGGAUCCAUUCUUAGCAACGAAUGUCUUGCCUUCGGAUCUGUGAUAGAAGGUGUACCCAAUAGUUUCCUUUGGAUAUCCUAUGAAGACACAUUUCUCCGAUUUGGGUUCGAGCUUAUCAGGUUGAAGUUUUUUCACAUAAGCAUCGCAGCCCCAAACUUUAAGAAACGACAACUUUGGUUUCUUGCCAAACCAUAGUUCAUAAGGCGUCGUCUCAACGGAUUUAGAUGGUGCCCUAUUUAACGUGAAUGCAGCCGUCUCUAGAGCGUAUCCCCAAAACGAUAGCGGUAAAUAAGUAAGAGACAUCAUAGAUCGCACCAUAUCUAGUAAAGUACGAUUACGACGUUCGGACACACCAUUACAUUGUGGUGUUCCGGGUGGCGUGAGUUGCGAAACUAUUCCACAAUUUUUCAAAUGUACACCAAACUCGUAACUCAAAUAUUCUCCUCCACGAUCAGAUCGUAGAAACUUUAUUUUCUUGUCACGAUGAUUUUCAACUUCACUAUGAAAUUCUUUGAACUUUUCAAAUGUUUCAGACUUGUGUUUCAUUAAGUAGAUAUACCCAUAUCUGCUUAAGUCAUCUGUGAAGGUGAGAAAAUAACGAUAUCCGCCGCGAGCCUCAACAUUCAUCGGACCACAUACAUCGGUAUGUAUGAUUUCCAAUAAAUCUGUUGCUCUCUCCAUAGUACCGGAGAAUGGUGUUUUAGUCAUCUUGCCCAUGAGGCACGGUUCACAAGUGCCAAGUGAUUCAUAAUCAAGUGGUUCCAAAAGUCCAUCAGUAUGGAGUUUCUUCAUGCGCUUUACACCGAUAUGACCUAAACGACAGUGCCACAAAUAAGUUGCACUUUCAUUAUCAACUCUGCAUCUUUUGGUUUCAACAUUAUGAAUAUGUGUAUCUCUACUAUCGAGAUUCAUCAAAAAUAGACCACUCUUCAAAGGUGCAUGACCAUAAAAGAUAUUACUCAUAUAAAUAGAACAACCAUUAUUCUCUGAUUUAAAUGAAUAACCGUCUCGCAUUAAACAAGAUCCAGAUAUAAUGUUCAUGCUCAACGCUGGCACCAAAUAACAAUUAUUUAGGUCUAAUAUUAAUCCCGAAGGUAGAUGUAGAGGUAGCGUGCCGACUGCGAUCACAUCGACUUUGGAACCGUUUCCCACGCGCAUCGUCACCUCGUCCUUUGCUAGUGUCCGCUUAUUCCGUAGUCCCUGUUUCGAGUUGCAAAUAUUAGCAACAGAACCAGUAUCAAAUACCCAGGUGCUACUGCGAGCUCUAGUAAGGUACACAUCAAUAACAUGUAUAUCACAUAUACCUUUGUUCACCUUGCCAUCCUUCUUAUCCGCCAAAUACUUGGGGCAGUUCCGCUUCCAGUGACCAGUCUGCUUGCAGUAAAAGCACUCAGUUUCAGGCUUAGGUCCAGACUUGGGUUUCUUCUCUUGAGCAGCAACUUGCUUGCCGUUCUUUUUGAAGUUCCCCUUCUUCUUCCCUUUGCCCUUUUUCUUGAAACUAGUGGUUUUGUUAACCAUCAACACUUGAUGCUCCUUUUUGAUUUCUACCUCCGCAGCUUUCAGCAUUGCGAAGAGCUCGGGAAUAGUCUUGUUCAUCCCUUGCAUAUUAUAGUUCAUCACGAAGCUCUUGUAGCUUGGUGGCAGUGAUUGAAGAAUUCUGUCAAUGACGCAAUCAUCUGGAAGAUUAACUCCCAAUUGAAUCAAGUGAUUAUUAUACCCAGACAUUUUGAGUAUAUGCUCACUGACAGAACUGUUCUCCUCCAUCUUGCAGCUAUAGAACUUAUUGGAGACUUCAUAUCUCUCAAUCCGGGCAUUUGCUUGAAAUAUUAACUUCAACUCCUGGAACAUCUCAUAUGCUCCAUGACGUUCAAAACGUCGUUGAAGUCCCGAUUCUAAGCCGUAAAGCAUGGCACACUGAACUAACGAGUAGUCAUCAGCUUUGCUCUGCCAGACGUUCAUAACUUCUGGUGUUGCUCUAGCAGCAGGCCUGGCACCCAGCGGUGCUUCCAGGACGUAAUUCUUCUGUGCAGCAAUGAGGAUAAUCCUCAAGUUACGGACCCAGUCCGUGUAAUUGCUACCAUCAUCUUUCAACUUUGCUUUCUCAAGGAACGCAUUAAAAUUCAAUGGAACAACAGCACGAGCCAUCUAUCUACAAUCAACAUAACAAGCAAGAUACUAUCAGAUACUAAGUUCAUGAUAAGUUUAAGUUCAGUUAAUCAAAUUACUUAAGAACUCCCACUUAGAUAGACAUCCCUCUAAUCCUCUAAGUGAUCACGUGAUCCAAAUCAACUAAACCAUAACCGAUCAUCACGUGAGAUGGAGUAGUUUUCACUGGUGAACAUCGUUAUGUUGAUCAUAUCUACUAUAUGAUUCAUGCUCGACCUUUCGGUCUCCGUGUUCCGAGGCCAUAUCUGCAUAUGCUAGGCUCGUCAAGUUUAACCUGAGUAUUCUGCGUGUGCAAAACUGGCUUGCACCCGUUGUAGAUGGACGUAGAGCUUAUCACACCCGAUCAUCACGUGGUGUCUGGGCACGACGAACUUUGGCAACAGUGCAUACUCAGGGAGAACACUUCUUGAUAAUUUAGUGAGAGAUCAUCUUAUAAUGCUACCGUCAAUCAAAGCAAGAUAAGAUGCAUAAAAGGAUAAACAUCACAUGCAAUCAAUAUAAGUGAUAUGAUAUGGCCAUCAUCAUCUUGUGCUUGUGAUCUCCAUCUCCGAAGCACCGUCAUGAUCACCAUCAUUACCGGCGCGACACCUUGAUCUCCAUCGUAGCAUCGUUGUCGUCUCGCCGAUCUUAUGCUUCCACGACUAUCACUACCGCUUAGUAAUAAAGUAAAGCAUUACAUCGCGAUUGCAUUGCAUACAAUAAAGCGACAACCAUAUGGCUCCUGCCAGUUGCCGAUAACUCGGUUACAAAACAUGAUCAUCUCAUACAAUAAAAUUUAGCAUCAUGCCUUGACCAUAUCACAUCACAACAUGCCCUGCAAAAACAAGUUAGACGUCCUCUACUUUGUUGUUGCAAGUUUUACGUGGCUGCUACGGGCUUAAGCAAGAACUCAUCUCACCUACGCAUCAAAACCACAACGAUAGUUUGUCAAAUAGACUCCGUUUUAACCUUCUCAAGGACCGGGCGUAGCCAUACUCGGUUCAACUAAAGUUGGAGAGACAGUCUCCCGCAAGCCAUCUAUGUGCAAAGCACGUCGAGGGAACCGGUCUCGCGUAAGCGUACGCGUAAGGUUGGUCUGGGUCGUCUCGUCCAACAAUACCGCCGAACCAAAGUAUGACAUGCUGGUAGGCAGUAUGACUUGUAUCGCCCACAACUCACUUGUGUUCUACUCGUGCACAUAACAUCAAACCAUAAAACCUAGGCUCCGAUGCCACUGUUAGGGAACGUAGUAAUUUCAAAAAAAUUUCCUACGCACACGCAAGAUCAUGGUGAUGCAUAGCAACGAGUGGAGAGUAUGAUCUACGUACCCUUGUAGAUCGCAACGGAAGCGUUGACACAACAUGGAGGAAGUAGUCGUACGUCUUCUUCCCGAUCCGACCGAUCCAAGCACCGUUACUCCGGCACCUCCGAGUUCUUAGCACACGUUCAGCUCGAUGACGAUCCUCGGGCUCCGAUCCAGCAAAGCGUCGAGGAAGAGUUCCGUCAGCACGACGGCGUGGUGACGAUCUUGAUGUACUACCGACGCAGGGCUUCGCCUAAGCACUGCAACAAUAUGAUCGAGGUGGAAUUUGGUGGCAGGGGGCACCGCACACGGCUAAGGAAAGAUCUCAAUGAUCAAUUGUGUGUCUAGAGGUGCCCCCUGCCCCCGUAUAUAAAGGGGCAAAGGGGGAGGGGUGCAGCAGCCAUAGGAGGAGUCCUACUCCCGCUGGGAGUAGGACUCCCCUUCCAAUCCUAUUCCAAAUAGGACUCCCCAAGUGGGGAAAGAGAGAGGGGUUGGCCGGCCACCUUCCCUAGUCCUAAUAGGACUAGGGGAAGGGGGGGGAGCGCGCAGCCCAUGGGGCAGCCCUUUCACCUUUCCACCAAGGCCCAUGUUGGCCCAUUUGCAUUCCGGGGGGUUCCGGUAACCUCCCGGUAAUCCGGUAAAAUUCCCGAUUUCACCCGGAACACUUCCGAUGUCCAAACAUAGGCUUCCAAUAUAUCAAUCUUUAUGUCUCGACCAUUUCGAGACUCCUCGUCAUGUCCGUGAUCACAUCCGGGACUCCGAACAACCUUCGGUACAUCAAAAUGCAUAAACUCAUAAUAUAACUGUCAUCGUAACGUUAAGCGUGCGGACCCUACGGUUCGAGAACAAUGUAGACAUGACCGAGACACAUCUCCAGUCAAUAACCAAUAGCGGGACCUGGAUGUCCAUAUUGGCUCCUACAUAUUCUACGAAGAUCUUUAUCGGUCAGACCGCAUAACAACAUACGUUGUUCCCUUUGUCAUCGGUAUGUUACUUGCCCGAGAUUCGAUCGUCGGUAUCCAAUACCUAGUUCAAUCUCGUUACCGGCAAGUCUCUUUACUCGUUCCGUAAUACAUCAUCCUGCAACUAACUCAUUAGUUGCAAUGCUUGCAAGGCUUAAAUGAUGUGCAUUACCGAGAGGGCCCAGAGAUACCUCUCCGAUGAUCGGAGUGACAAAUCCUAAUCUCGAAAUACGCCAACCCAACAUCUACCAUUGGAGACACCUGUAGUACUCCUUUAUAAUCACCCAGUUACGUUGUGACGUUUGGUAGUACCCAAAGUGUUCCUCCGGCAAACGGGAGUUGCAUAAUCUCAUAGUCAUAGGAACAUGUAUAAGUCAUGAAUAAAGCAAUAGCAACAUACUAAACGAUCGGGUGCUAAGCUAAUAUAAUGGGUCAUGUCAAUCAGAUCAUUCAACUAAUGAUGUGACCUCGUUAAUCAAAUAACAACUCUUUGUUCAUGGUUAGGAAACAUAACCAUCUUUGAUUAACAAGCUAGUCUAGUAGAGGCAUACUAGUGACACUCUGUUUGUCUAUGUAUUCACACAUGUAUUAUGUUUCCGGUUAAUACAAUUCUAGCAUGAAUAAUAAACCUUUAUCAUGAUAUAAGGAAAUAAAUA
rnacentral:lncRNA from 1 species